GAGUCUGAUCAUGGCUCAAGAUGAACGCUAGCGGCAGGCCUAACACAUGCAAGUCGAGGGGGAAGUUACUUUCGGGUAACUGAGACCGGCGUACGGGUGCGUAACGCGUAUACAAUCUGCCUUUCACUGGGGGAUAGCCCGAAGAAAUUUGGAUUAAUACCCCAUAGUAUAGUAGUGUGGCAUCACACAACUAUUAAAGCUUAGGUGGUGAAAGAUGAGUAUGCGUUCUAUUAGCUAGUUGGAGAGGUAACGGCUCCCCAAGGCGAUGAUAGAUAGGGGUUCUGAGAGGGAUGUCCCCCACACUGGUACUGAGAUACGGACCAGACUCCUACGGGAGGCAGCAGUGAGGAAUAUUGGACAAUGGUCGGAAGACUGAUCCAGCCAUGCCGCGUGCAGGAUGAAGGUCUUAUGGAUUGUAAACUGCUUUUGUAAGGGAAGAAUAAGGGCUACGCGUAGUUUGAUGACGGUACCUUAUGAAUAAGCAUCGGCUAACUCCGUGCCAGCAGCCGCGGUAAUACGGAGGAUGCGAGCGUUAUCCGGAAUCAUUGGGUUUAAAGGGUCUGUAGGCGGGCUUGUAAGUCAGAGGUGAAAGCGCUUAGCUCAACUAAGCAACUGCCUUUGAAACUGUUGGUCUUGAAUGGUUGUGAAGUAGUUGGAAUGUGUAGUGUAGCGGUGAAAUGCUUAGAUAUUACACAGAACACCGAUAGCGAAGGCAUAUUACUAACAAUUAAUUGACGCUGAUGGACGAAAGCGUGGGGAGCGAACAGGAUUAGAUACCCUGGUAGUCCACGCUGUAAACGAUGGAUACUAGCUGUUUGGUUUUAAGACUGAGUGGCUAAGCGAAAGUGAUAAGUAUCCCACCUGGGGGAGUACGUUCGCAAGAAUGAAAACUCAAAGGAAUUGACGGGGGCCCCGCACAAGCGGUGGAGCAUGUGGUUUAAAUUCGAUGAUACGCGAGGAACCUUACCAAGGUUUAAAAUGGAGACUGACAGGGGUAGAGAUACCUUUUUUCUUUCGGACAGUUUUCAAAGGUGCUGCAUGGUUGUCGUCAGCUCGUGCCGUGAGGUGUCAGGUUAAGUCCUAUAACGAGCGCGAACCCCUGCCAUUAGUUGCUAACGAGUAAAGUCGAGCCCUCUAGUGGGACUGCCGGUGCGAAACCGUGAGGAAGGUGGGGAUGAACGUCAAAUCAUCACGGCCCUUACGAUCUUGGGCUACGACGACGUGCUACGAAUGGCCGUUACAGAGAGCGGCCGCUGCGUGAAGCGGGCGGCGAAAUCUAUAAAGAACGGUCCCGGUUUCGGAAUCGGAUUCUGCGAACUCGAACUCCGUGAAAGCGGAA
rnacentral:rRNA from 1 species